GUCCUGGGUAGCCUAGUGGACAUGGCAUCUGCCCAGUAAGCGGAACACUGUGGCUUCGAUUACCAUCCCUGGACA
rnacentral:tRNA from 1 species